rnacentral:rRNA from 1 species
AUUGAACGCUGGCGGCAGGCCUAACACAUGCAAGUCGAACGGUAACAGGAAGAAGCUUGCUUCUUUGCUGACGAGUGGCGGACGGGUGAGUAAUGUCUGGGAAACUGCCUGAUGGAGGGGGAUAACUACUGGAAACGGUAGCUAAUACCGCAUAACGUCGCAAGACCAAAGAGGGGGACCUUCGGGCCUCUUGCCAUCGGAUGUGCCCAGAUGGGAUUAGCUAGUAGGUGGGGUAACGGCUCACCUAGGCGACGAUCCCUAGCUGGGCUGAGAGGAUGACCAGCCACACUGGAACUGAGACACGGUCCAGACUCCUACGGGAGGCAGCAGUGGGGAAUAUUGCACAAUGGGCGCAAGCCUGAUGCAGCCAUGCCGCGUGUAUGAAGAAGGCCUUCGGGUUGUAAAGUACUUUCAGCGGGGAGGAAGGGAGUAAAGUUAAUACCUUGGCUCAUUGACGUUACCCGCAGAAGAAGCACCGGCUAACUCCGUG